AGCGAACGCUGGCGGCAGGCCUAACACAUGCAAGUCGAACGAACCUUUCGGGGUUAGUGGCGGACGGGUGAGUAACACGUGGGAACGUGCCUUUAGGUUCGGAAUAACUCAGGGAAACUUGUGCUAAUACCGAAUGUGCCCUUCGGGGGAAAGAUUUAUCGCCUUUAGAGCGGCCCGCGUCUGAUUAGCUAGUUGGUUGAGGUAAUGGCUCACCAAGGCGACGAUCAGUAGCUGGUCUGAGAGGAUGAUCAGCCACAUUGGGACUGAGACACGGCCCAAACUCCUACGGGAGGCAGCAGUGGGGAAUCUUGCGAAAUGGGCGAAAGCCUGACGCAGCCAUGACGCGUGAAUGAUGAAGGUCUUAGGAUUGUAAAAUUCUUUAACCGGGGACGAUAAUGACGGUACCAGGAGAAGAAGCCCCGGCUAACUUCGUG
rnacentral:rRNA from 1 species